rnacentral:rRNA from 1 species
UACGAAGGGGGCUAGCGUUGCUCGGAAUUACUGGGCGUAAAGGGCGCGUAGGCGGACAUUUAAGUCAGAGGUGAAAGUCCAGGGCUCAACCCUGGAAUGCCGGUGGAAACUGUCGAGCUAGAGUCCGGAAGAGGCGAGUGGAAUUCCUGGUGUAGCGGUGAAAUGCGCAGAUAUCAGGAGGAACACCGGUGGCGAAGGCGGGUCUCUGGGCCGUUACUGACGCUGAGGAGCGAAAGCGUGGGGAGCGAACAGG